rnacentral:rRNA from 1 species
GACGAACGCUGGCGGCGUGCUUAACACAUGCAAGUCGAACGCUGAAGCUUGGUGCUUGCACUGGGUGGAUGAGUGGCGAACGGGUGAGUAAUACGUGAGUAACCUGCCCUUGACUCUGGGAUAAGCCUGGGAAACUGGGUCUAAUACUGGAUAUGACAUGCCACUGCAUGGUGGUGUGUGGAAAGGGUUUUACUGGUUUUGGAUGGGCUCACGGCCUAUCAGCUUGUUGGUGGGGUAAUGGCCUACCAAGGCGACGACGGGUAGCCGGCCUGAGAGGGUGACCGGCCACACUGGGCCUGAGACACGGCCCAGACUCCUACGGGAGGCAGCAGUGGGGAAUAUUGCACAAUGGGCGGAAGCCUGAUGCAGCGACGCCGCGUGAGGGAUGACGGCCUUCGGGUUGUAAACCUCUUUCAGCACGGAAGAAGCGAGAGUGACGGUACGUGCAGAAGAAGCGCCGGCUAACUACGUG